UGAGAGCUCAGGGAUUGUUCAGUGGCUACAUAGCAUCUGCAUUUACUUUAAUUGAGUGGGCUUCACACAAGACUCUCUCCAAGGGUCUCCCCUUGCUGUGCAGGCUCUCGCAAUUACUAAUGUGUCUCCAUCCUGGGAGAAGAUGGCUGGAAUCUGGGCUUCAAUGGCUGCCAGCGUGACCUCUCCCCCAGUGACAGCAGAGCACAGGUGACAAGGAAGCCACGGGGCUGGACGACAGGGAGUCUUCAGGGAGCGAGCCAUCCCAGCACCUCCAGCAGCACAGUGACUGAAGGAUCCCAGCCUCGGAUUCACUCGGACCCGACUGCAAGCCCAGCUCCCUCCCAUUCGUAAUAAGACACCGAGACCAAGGUGGAGGGAAGAUCCAUUUCAGCAAAUAAGAAAAUGAGACCAAGCUCCUGAUUUGUUAUGCAAAAGCCCCUAAAAGCAUUUAAAAAUAUGAAUCACACAGACACAAAAGCUCCAAGACUGCAAAGCUCCAGAGGGAAGCAAGAGAGAAAUCCAACACUCAAGACACGUGGGCUCUGGCUCCAGCUCUGCCCCUGGGGAGGCCUGUGGUAGUUACAGCCUGAGCAGCUCUUCGACCACCGUUUCUUCAUCUGCAAAGCCAGCAACAUCUUGCCUCAUUCCCAGACUACUGCACUUGGCCCGCAAGUAGGACCAGGGGAAAGUCGUGUAAUUAAUUCAAAUGACUUGGGGGGAAGGCUAAUUUGAUUUAGUGAAGCUCUCCAUAUUCUAAAGCAAUCUGAUCCCUUUCAUGUUCAUCAGAAGCAAAACCUCAGGGCUGAGGGGCGCUGCCCCACCCCCCCA